CGGCGAACUCCGGUCAGCUGACACGUCCCGGCCAAUCUCCAGCAGACCCUCCCUCCCAGACCCUCCUACUUCCUGGACAGCAUCCAUGUACAUAGGAAGUAGGAGGGUCUGGGAGGGAGGGUCUGCUGGAGAUUGGCUGGGACGUGUCAGCUGACCGG
rnacentral:miRNA from 1 species